GCAGCAGUGUGUCUGUGUCUGUGUCUGUGCAGCAGCAGUGUGUCUGUGUCUGUGUCUGUGUCUGUACAGCAGCAGUGUGUCUGUGUCUGUGUCUGUGUCUGUACAGCAGCAGUGUGUCUGUGUCUGUGUCUGUGUCUGUGUCUGUACAGCAGCAGUGUGUCUGUGUCUGUGUCUGUACAGCAGCGGCAGUGUGUCUGUGUCUGUGUCUGUGUCUGUGUCUGUGUCUGUGUCUGUGUCUGUGUCUGUGUCUGUGCAGCAGCAGUGUGUCUGUGUCUGUGUCUGUGUCUGUGUCUGUGCAGCAGCAGUGUGUCUGUGUCUGUGUCUGUGUCUGUGCAGCAGCAGUGUGUCUGUGUCUGUGUCUGUGUCUGUGUCUGUGUCUGUGUCUGUGCAGCAGCAGCCGCAGCAGUGUCUGUGCAUCCUUGUCAUCGUGCUGAUUUCCUCUGCUUUUCAGAAGCUCCAUCACGGUCAUUGCUGCCAUGAUCUGGUGGUUAGAUCAGAGGACUGAAAGUUAGGUCUUUUGUGACCUGUUUUUAGAACUGCUCCUUGACUCUGUGCACAUUAUUUUUAAUCUUUCUUCCUCUUUCUUAUGUCAUUCAGAGCAGUGACACCAUUUUGCAAGCUGUCAUUUUCAAAGGGGACCGUGCCUGUGGCCCAGCCUGCGUACCCAGAGCCUUUGGUUGCUCUUGUAUAACCAAAGGAGAGCAGGGUAGGGAGCGGCCGAGGAACGGGGUGCAGUCAGUGUCAGUUCCACACGUUGCAAGUCAGUGUCCGACACGUUUGUGGGCUCCUGUUCUCAGAUACCAUCUCAAACGAAUGAGUCUGCUUCCAGAUAUUUCUUCGUAAUGUUUAAUCUGCUACUUUGGCCUUGCCAUUAUGUGGCUGGUGAAGAUACAUGUUGAAAUAUCACCCUUUGGUGGAUUCAGCUCUGUUGUUUCUGAGGGCAAAACCAUAUGGGUGAGAAAUUGAGUGACCUCAUUUUUUAGGAUACAAAUAAUUCCAUGAAAUGUUUUUUGCAUCUUUUUGUCUUACUUUGCAUGGUGCCCUUUGCUCCUGUGCAGCUGUUGUGUGUGCCUUGAGAAGAGUGGUUUGGAUUCCGUGCUGGAUUCAAGGUGGCUCUGAAGUUGGUGAGAUUAUGAGACUCCAGCUGAAUUCUGCACCAUCCGAGUGUUCUGGCGAACGCACAGAUGGGAAGGAUGGUUUUCUGUGUGGUCGAACGAAAUGUUCCAUGAACAGGUUUGGAUGAGUUUUCACUGUGAAAUGAACAUAUGUCAUGUUAAAAGGGUACAGACCCACUCUCUCUGUUUCACCAUGCAGAUUUGGUUUUAAACCAGGCGAAACCAGGCAUUGUUUUCCCUAUAUCGAAACUGGAAGCGUCCACAUUGUUAUAAGGCAUCUUUAUACCUAUAGUGCGACGAGCUAGUGCUCUGCACACAGAGGGGAGUGAGGAUUUGGUGAGACCUGAGCUGCUGCCGGUGAUGCUGUGGUCAGCUGGUACCGGUGCAGACAGCCGGGGCGCUCAGUGGGUCGGCUGUUGAACGGAGUUCAGAGGAGGAGCAGCUCAGGCAGCCUGCGUGAGUGCGGGUGGGAGUGCAGGAGCACGGGCAGUGUGAGUGCAGGAGCACGGGCAGUGUGAGUGCAGGAGCACGGGCAGUGUGAGUGCAGGAGCACGGGCAGUGUGAGUGCAGGAGCACGGGCAGUGUGAGUGCAGGAAUACAGGCAGUGUGAGUGCAGGAGCACGGGCAGUGUGAGUGCAGGAGCACGGGCAGUGUGAGUGCAGGAGCACGGGCAGUGUGAGUGCAGGAGCACGGGCAGUGUGAGUGCAGGAAUACAGGCAGUGUGAGUGCAGGAAUACAGGCAGUGUGAGUGCAGGAGCACGGGCAGUGUGAGUGCAGGAAUACAGGCAGUGUGAGUGCAGGAGCACAGGCAGUGCGGCUGUUGUUGGUGCAGGGUGCUGCAGGCUGUUCUCAGGCUCAGAACCGCUCGGGACGGCUGAGGACAGCGAGCCUCGCGGCACGCAUGCAGCGCCGAGUCCUGUGUCUGCGGAUCCCGGCACAGCUGGGACAGGAGCUGUGUCUUGUGAUCCUCCAUCCGUCUGGCCAGGAAAACCCCAGCACUGUUUCUGUGGAAUGAUUCUUUGGCCUUACUCUUGUCUCCUCUGGCGGGCACUUCGUCCUGCUGCAUUUCGUUGGCUCUUUGUGUGUCGGGGCCCUGCUGAGCGCCUGCAGAUCACAGGCUCUGCCCAGCUCUCAGCUUCCACCCCUCAGAGCGAGCGGCCUCACACCCUAGAUAGCUUGCUAUAAAAAUGCAACACUACUUCUUUCCUUUGCAUGGGUCAACUCACUUGCACCUUUUUUCUUCCCUUUGCCUGGAUCAGUUCAGUUGCAUCUUCAUUUUUCCUUUUUAGCUCAGAUGACUUUGAAGAAAGUGCCCUGAAGUACACCCGUUGCUGCUGGUCUCCGAGCGGUUGCUGAGAUCUCUAUCGGUUUCUCACAUGGUCGCAGAGCAUGACUUAGAGGCAGAUUUGGCAAGUCACAUUCUGAACUUUCUGUGUUCUCUUCAGGGCUCAGGUUGCUUAAGGCUUUUUCUUGGUCUGCCUGUAUAAUGGCACUGGGGAAAAUAGACAAGAGUCAGCUAAAGGUGUCAAGUGAAUCCACUUUCACUGAAUGCCUUAAAAUGACUCAUCUCACUUUCCCCAGUGUCCCUGCAGAUAAACUGUAAGUUCAGAAGGUUUGUCCCGCAUUUCAGAAGGUGGCAAUGCAGAACCUGCUGCAGGAGGAACCGGUCCCUGCAGAUAAACUGUGAGUUCGGGAGGUCUGUCCCGUGUUUCGGGAGGUGGUAAUGCAGAAGCUGCCGCAGCGGGGCCGGUCCGGCCGGGCAGCGUCCGCCCCCGCAGCUGCGGAGCCCCCGGUCCCGGGCUGCGCAGGUUAACGGGGCAGUUCCUUCCUGAUUAAUUUCUGUCUGAAGGAAGAGAGGUGAUUCGCAUUUCUCUUGGCCACAUCUAAGAGCUGGGUCGUACAUUGAUCUGAUCCUUUGAAAACUCCAGCCACUGGCUCGUUAAACUGCAAGGCGGGACUCUGAACUUUGCACCGGGUGUCCGUGAGCUGGUUCUGCAGACGCCGUUGCUUUCUCGUGCCACAUCUGCCGACGCACAGCUGGAGGACCGUGCGCCUCUGGUCUCUGUUCACAGGCGUUUGAACUGCAGCGGCUGGCUGGAGGCCGCGGGCAGGGUGGACUUGUAUCUGGAGACUUGGAUCUCUUUGUACGGGCGGGCUUGUAUCGACAGAGAGCUGCUGUUUACUUCGUAUAAAUAAAUAAAGAACUACAA